GUCCCCGUAGCUCAGUAGGACAGAGCAACAGUUUCCUAAACUGUGGGUCACAGGUUCGAGUCCUGUCGGGGACGCCA
rnacentral:tRNA from 1 species